AUAUUGGAAAUGGACAAUCUCAACUCCUAUAGCACGUGUAGGUAAAAUAGAAUCUCUUUAAAGGACACUACUAAAUAUAAACCAAAAAAAAAAAACAUUCUGCUAAAUGAUUUAUGCAACAUCAAUGCAUUUCUAUGCAGAAACUAUCAUUGGUAGCCAGACAUGAACAAAGAAACUCUGUUUCACCUCUCUUCUUCUUUUUUUUUUUUUCCACAUGCAAGACAACUAGGGAUAUUAAAUGUUUUUUCAAUGAGUUUAUUAGCACCUGGUAUGUCAUAUUGCGUGAAACAGGUGCCCAUUCUUCAGCAAUUCGCCUUUCUAGAGCUUCAGGAUCAGCAGUUGGUGGAAUUCGAAUAUCAAAACCUGCUUCUGCUUCAGAUGGCUGCAAAUUCAUGACAAAUCCCUGGAAGCCAACCAAAAGCAAUAAAUCACUAGGAUAAUGAUGGCUUGUGUAAGAAAGCAAAUAAAUUACAAAAUAUUGCAGAUCCAAAAAGUUGUUGCCAAGAAAAUAAUUUAAGGAUUUCAAUUCAGUAGUCCAACUGUUCAAUCAUUGUCAAUAAUUUUAAUCCCAAGUUUGAAAAUUUGUGAGGCCUUUAGGUUCUUGUUGAGCAUAGCUUGUUUCUAAUAUCCUAAGAUCACAUACAAUGUUUUCUUCAUCAAAUGUUUAAGGGUAUUUACCAGAAAUUUUCCAGAUGAUAAUUGUAGCAAAACGCAUGGAAGAACUUACAGUUGGAGAUGGAGUGCCAGCCUUAAGAAACACCAUGUUAACAGAAAUAACCUCUCCCUCCUCCUUCAAACCAGAUUUCACCAAAUCAAACUGAGAAGCCCGGAAUCUCCUCACACUCUCAAUGCUUUUCAAAAGAUUUUCCAUUGCACUAUUGUCAUAAAGCUUAGCUCCAUGGCCUGGCGCCCCGUUGGCCUUAAUCACCAGCCACCAUGGACUCCUCUCUGCAUAGAACGGCCGGUAAUUCUCAGUGGGCGAUGCUAAUCCUGUUUUCAAGAUACACCACAAUAACCAAUAAGCUUUAGCUCAAUACUACAGUUUGAACUUUGAAUCUCGAAGCAAACCAAUAAAAGAAGUGGCAGAACAAUACAUCAUUUCAAUGAAACAAAUAAAGAGACUAAGUAAAUUAAAAUCAACCACCUUCAUCAAGCACUAUUCCCACAUUCAUGGUCUUGAAGAUAUCAGAAGCAGAAAACUUCUCAGCACCAUCAUGGCCGCCUAUUUCUUCAUCGGGGGCAAAAGAGAGGUAAAUGGACCGAAUCGGCUGGUACCCAGAAGACUUCAAGCGGCGGACAGCUUCCAGAUACUGCAUACCAACGCACUUCAUGUCCUGGGAGCCUCUAGCAUAGAUGUUACCAUGGGAAUCAAGGUGUGCGCCGAAGGCAGGGUAAGCCCACUUGUGCUGCUCGACGGGGACGACAUCAGUAUGAGAGUAAAGGAGGAUAGAAGGGAGGGUAGGGUUAGAGCCCGCCCACUUGAGGAGAACAAGUGGCUUGCCAUCGACGAACUCAAUGGAUUGAGAUUCAAGACCGAUGGAUUUGGCCUGGGAAAUGAGGAAAUCGGCUGCUUCUUGAUAUCGGGGGCUGGGUUGGGCGGUGUCAAUUUGGAGGUAUUGUUGGAAUCUUGAUAUGAUUGAUGAUGAUGAAUCUUCGGCUAGAGCUACUGCGGGAUUUGGAAGGUGUAAGCAAGUAUUGAGGAGGAGUACAAGGACGAAGAGGAAGAAAGAGUGGCUAGUGGAAGAGAAGGAAGUUGGGAGUGGACAGUCCAUUAGAAUUGAAUGUCUCAUACUUGCAAUCCAACAGGGCUAUGGUGGCGCAGGGAAAGUUAUUACCUUUUUGCAUAUCUGAGCUUAGAUGGGUCUAUCUUUUUAGGUUCUUCUUCCUCGUCAUUUGACAUUAGAGCUCUAAACCAUAUAUAUAUAUAUAUAUAUAGUUUAUAUGGUGAAUUAGUGGGCAAUUAAAUGCAUGAUCCCAAUUGAUUUAAAAGGUAGUCAGAAUUAGUUAUUUUUUUUUUUAAAUGAAAAUUAGAGAUGUGAAGAGUAAAAUUUGAAAUCUACUUAAUCUUUGGGAAUCAAUCAUAUGAACAUACCAUCUGAACAUACCACUUGGCUAAGCAUGCUAUGAGUUGAAAUCUUUGGGAAUCAAUCAGAUGAACAUACCAUCUGAACAUACCACUAGGCUAAGCAUGCUAUGAAUGAAAAAUGACUGGUAUUAUUAAAAAAUAAAACAAAUAACUAAAUAUAUUUUACAUAUAUCUUAAUUUAUAAAUUCAGAAUUUAGCAUUUAAUAUUGCCUGAUAAAUCAUUUUGCACAAUAAAAAUGGUACUAAUUGAUUAUUAUGGAAUUAGAUAUUAAUAUAUUUUUUAAAAUAAAAAAGAGUAAUUAAUAAAUUUUUUUAUAACACAGAAUUUUAGCUUAUUAUUAUUUGUAGCAUUACGAAGUUCAAAGAGCACAAAUCCAUACCCUGAACCAGUUCUGCCAGUGUCCUGUUUGGCCCACUUAUUUGUACAUCACUAGUACAUGCAUCUAAUCUGAAUCGUUAUUUUACAAAACUUCCAUAAAAUAUGGGCUUGAAGAUGGACAGUGAUCAGGAGCUAUCUUAUAACUCAUCUUUGGUCCCUUCAUUGCUGGCAUGCUCAGCAUAAGAUGCAUAAGCUUUAAUUAUUGACUCGUAGAUCUCUACGCCUUUCAGGUAUUCGGCUUUGUUCAGGAACUGCAAGAAUGUAGAACACAUGAUGGUUACACAACACAAUCACUGAAUGCAUAUUAAGCAAAAUUCUGAGCCCUUGUAAUAUGCAAAAUCAAUUAACACAGAGGGAGAGAGAUGCCUAUGAAUGGUAACAUGUGAAGAUUGACAGUAAGACAAGCCCAUCUGUCAUACAUUCUUAAAUUCACCAUAACAAUCAAGUGAAGAGCCAAUGUGAAAUUAUUGACCACCAGAGGUAUCGAAUGCGACUAUUUUAUUAAUCAUACCUCAUUAUGAUCAUGCAGAAGAACAGGUGUGUUUGCCAUGGGGGAGAAACCAAUUGCUGGUAGCCCACGGAACCGGAAGUGACGAGAAUCCGUGGCAGCUGGAAAGAUCUCUGGUUUACCAAGUUUUCCAUUAGCUUUUCUGACAGCUUCUUCAAGCAGAACCCACCAUGGGUUAGAAUUCGUCUUUGUAAUAAGAGGCCUCCCAAACUUGUCAUAAACAGUGGCUUUCGACUUAAACUGUCCAAGAUACAAAAAUAAUUAGAACAAUUUGUAAAGCAACCUAAACACGUAAAAAAGUUGUUCCUAGUUACAUGUAUCCGAUACCAUGUUCAAAAGCGAGCCUUGAAGAUAGGCAUAAUAUCUAUCUUUGAUCAGUAUCAUAACCAUUUGUUCAUAUAUACUGUACCUUCAGAUAACAGUGCUUUCUGAUAGACACCAACUUUAAACCAGAAAAUCAAGUUUACUAUCUUUCACAACUCUUCAAAUAUAUGCAUAAAAAUAUUUGCAAAAGAUUCAGAUGACCUUUGUGCUAUAGUAUAGGCUCUUUCUACUAGCCAUACUGAACUGAAAAAAGGGCAUUGAUAGAAUAGAAGUUAAAAAGUGUAUUUAUGCUUAGCGCGCCAUCUCAUGAAAAAUAAUGCUAAUAUAGACAUAACAUUCCCCUUUAGCUUCAUAAUGAAAAAUGAACGAACUUUUGCUCCUUUCAUUCUCUGUAAUCUUGGAAAUGGCCUACCUCACUCACAUAGCAUGUGUAGGACCAUAGGUAAAAUGGAACCUCUUUAAAGGUAAUUACUAAAUACAUAUAAGAAAAAAAAAACAAACUUCUGCUAAAUGAUUUAUGCAUAAACAUCAAUACAUUUCUAUGCAGAAACUAUCAUUGGUUUGCCAGACAUAAGCAAAGCAACUGCAUUUCUUUUUUUUUUUCCUGAUACAAGACAAUUAGGGACAUUAAAUGUUUUUAGUGAAUUUAUUAGAACCUCAUAUGUCAUAUUGCGUGAAACAGGUGCCCAUUCUUCAGCAAUUCGCCUUUCCAAAGCUUCAGGAUCAGCAGUUGGUGGAACUCGAAUAUCAAAACCUGCUUCUGCUUCAGAUGGCUGCAC
rnacentral:lncRNA from 1 species